AUAAUUUUWGGUCGAUCUGCUCAAUGAAUUAUUUUWAAUAGCUGCAGUAUGUUGACUGUACAAAGGUAGCAUAAUAAAUUGUCUUUUAAUUGAAGAAUUGUAUGAAAGAAUUAAUGAAAUAAUAACUGUCUCUAAAUUAUUAAAUGAAUUUAAAUUUUUAGUUAAAAUUCUAAAAUUUAAUUWUGGGACGAUAAGACCCUWUAGAAUUUWAUUUAAUUUUUWAAUUUWUUUAUAAUUUUWAUAAAUAUAUUUAAGAUUAAAUUUGAUUGGGAGGAUUGGUAAAUUUAAUAAACUUUWUUUAAGAUUUAAUUUUGAUAUAAAGAUAAUUUUUUGAAUUAUAAAUUGUAAUUWAAAGAAUAAAUUACCUUWGGGAUAACAGCGUAAUAUCUUUUGAUAGACCAUAUAGAUAAAGAUGUUUGCGACCUCGAUGUUGAAUUWAGAUAAAAAUUWGGCGCAGUAGUUUAAGUUUUUAAGUCUGUUCGACUUUUWAAAUCUUACAUGAUUUGAGUUCAAAUCGACGUAAGUCAGAUUGGUUUCUAUCUWUAAUAAAAUAUUAAUUAAUUGUACGAAAGGACUUUWAUUUUUAAAUUWUUUAUAAAUUAAUAAUAAAUAUAUUAUGUAGUUAUUUUWGCAUAAUAGUGCAUUAAAUUUAGGAUUUAAUUWUAUUAAUUUUUUUAAAUUAAUAAAUAA
rnacentral:rRNA from 1 species